rnacentral:rRNA from 1 species
AAUAUUGGACAAUGGGCGCAAGCCUGAUCCAGCCAUGCCGCGUGAGUGAUGAAGGCCCUAGGGUUGUAAAGCUCUUUCAACGGUGAAGAUAAUGACGGUAACCGUAGAAGAAGCCCCGGCUAACUUCGUGCCAGCAGCCGCGGUAAUACGAAGGGGGCUAGCGUUGUUCGGAAUUACUGGGCGUAAAGCGCACGUAGGCGGAUUGGUCAGUUAGGGGUGAAAUCCCGGAGCUUAACUCCGGAACUGCCUUUAAUACUGCCAGUCUAGAGACCGAGAGAGGUAAGUGGAACUCCUAGUGUAGAGGUGGAAUUCGUAGAUAUUAGGAAGGAACACCAGUGGCGAAGGCGACCACCUGGGCUAAUACUGACACUGAGGUGCGAAAGCGUGGGGAGCAAACAG